AGAGCAAAUGGUAGCAACAGACAAGCAAGAAUCAUGGUGAUGUGAAAGGAGCCGUGAGGCUGAGGCAGGGGCUCCGCAAAGCUUCAGGAACGCUCAGUGGACAGUAUAUCUUGUGCCCACUCUAAGACAGUGGCAGCAACGAGGUCAACUUCACCCAGUAGCUUCCGGUAUCCACCCUCGCAGCCCCUUCAUUGGGCUUACCAACACAAAGCGAGCGUCAGCCUGACUUCCGGCGCCAUUUCCUGUUCAGCCUCUGAAAGGGGGUCAGCCAACACGGAAAUGGUUAGCACAGGUAGGCAAGCCCCAGAGCUUGGGCUCAGCGACCUCCCUGCUGAUCCCCUGGAUUCUGUUUGCUUUUCAUGGCAGUGAAAUACAGUCAUAUCUUGAUGGAGUUUCUCAAAGGCUUGCUUUCUCUUCUUGUGCCUCAAUCAAGAUUUGAUCAAAGUGUCAGAAGAAGGAACACUCUUUGUAUUUCGAGGGUAGGCUGGCUGCAAAGCAGGACCCGUGCGGAGAUACAUACACCACGGAGCAGGCGUAACAGCCCUGCUUGCUGCUCUCGCGGACCAGAAAGGUGCCGUCUCGCUUCCCUCGCAGCAGGUUCUCGGCUUUAUUCCGGUUGCUACUGCCAACAUUCCAAGUCUUUUCAUCGUGGUGAGAAACAUUUUCAGAUCAGGAACAUCAGUUUGCAAGUUUAUGGGGAAAAUAAACAGAUGGGCCAAGCUGGACUUACUCUUCCGUGUUCUCGUUGCCCAGCCACUCGUUCAACUUCUUCUGCCGGACACCCUUCUGAGUCAACCACCUGCCGAAACAUGGUUUCCAAAAAAAAAAAAUGCGUGAGUGGCCCGUUCUGCAGCCGAGCCGUCAUGCCCAUCACCCUCCGCCCACCAUUCGCUUCCACCCACGUACAUCAGCUUCAAUAUUAUCUUCUUUAACAACCUGAUCCUAAAAAAAAGAUGGGAGACAACAGAAAAAAGAAAAAUGAAUUCAACCAGUACGAGUGAACCCACAAACUAUUCUUCCACAAAACAGCUGGCAUGCAAAAAUCUUUCAAAUCGGCAUCUUCCUUGGCACUUUUAAGUUCGCAGGCUUGAAGCUCUGACUGAAUGCAAUCCCCAUCCGCUUACGUAUUACAAGGGCUC